CCUAACAUAACCCAACCCUUAACCCGUUAAUAAAACCCGCUCUGUCUUUCUUUUGAUCUAGGUCGUUGAUCAUUUUGAUCAACGACCAUGAUUUAACCUUACCUUUUCUCAUCCCCCAAACCCCAUAACCCUAAUCCAUUUUCCCCUAAGACGCUGCCUUGAAACCCAUUCGUCUCUCAAACUCUCUCGAACCUUCCUCAACCCUAAUCGUUUCCUAUUGUUUUCAACCUCAAAAUCCACCGGAAACUAUGGCUUCUCUGGUCAUGGUAAUAUUAUACUCACCCCCUGUUACUCAUUUGUGCUCAAUACUUGAAGAAUCGAGGCCAGACCUCAAAGGUCUUCAUCCAGACCUUCUCCGGCUCGAGGUUUCACGACCACCUCCAGCCUUGCUCCGGCGUAUCCUGGAACUAUAAGCCUAUCUCUGACCUUUCCUACCAAGAUCAGACCUUUUCAAAGCUUUUCUCAUUCUACGGUUCUUGUAAAACCCUAACUAUUUGAAGUUUUCUCCAAAUUUUCUUAAAACUGUUAUAUAUUUG
rnacentral:lncRNA from 1 species